UCCCAGGUGGCUUAGUGGUAAAGGAUCCGCCUGUAGUGCAGGAGACUCCAGUUCGAAUCCUGGGUUGGGAA
rnacentral:tRNA from 1 species